AAAGUGGAUCAAGCGACCGCUUCCGCUGGGCCAGUGAGUCUGGCCCAUAGGGAGAGGAAAGUCCGGACUCCACAGGACAGGGUGGCCGCUAACAGCGGCCCCGAGCGAUCGGGGGAAAGUACCACAGAAAAGAUACCGCCGUCCGCCUAAGGCGGAUGGUAAGGGUGAAAAGGCGAGGUAAGAGCUCACCGGUCCGCCAGUAAUGGCGGAGGCAAGGCAAACCCCACCCGGAGCAAGACCAAAUAGGAGGGUUUGGGUGGUCCGCCCUUAGCCCUCGGGUAGAGUCGCUAGAUCUCGCGAGUAAUCGCGGGACGAGAUGAAUGGUCGCUACGGCUUCUUAUAGAAGCCGUCACAGAAUCCGGCUUAUCGAUCCGCUUUAGCC
rnacentral:RNase_P_RNA from 1 species